GCGGAAGUGGCUUAAAGCGGUAGAGCCUCUCCUUGCCAGGGAGAGGGUUGUAGGUCCGAAUCCCAUCUUCCGCU
rnacentral:tRNA from 1 species